CGGGACACGUGGUAUCCUGUCUGAAUAUGGGGGGACCAUCCUCCAAGGCUAAAUACUCCUGACUGACCGAUAGUGAACCAGUACCGUGAGGGAAAGGCGAAAAGAACCCCGGCGAGGGGAGUGAAAAAGAACCUGAAACCGUGUACGUACAAGCAGUGGGAGCACGCUUAGGCGUGUGACUGCGUACCUUUUGUAUAAUGGGUCAGCGACUUAUAUUCUGUAGCAAGGUUAACCGAAUAGGGGAGCCGAAGGGAAACCGAGUCUUAACUGGGCGUUAAGUUGCAGGGUAUAGACCCGAAACCCGGUGAUCUAGCCAUGGGCAGGUUGAAGGUUGGGUAACACUAACUGGAGGACCGAACCGACUAAUGUUGAAAAAUUAGCGGAUGACUUGUGGCUGGGGGUGAAAGGCCAAUCAAACCGGGAGAUAGCUGGUUCUCCCCGAAAGCUAUUUAGGUAGCGCCUCGUGAAUUCAUCUCCGGGGGUAGAGCACUGUUUCGGCAAGGGGGUCAUCCCGACUUACCAACCCGAUGCAAACUGCGAAUACCGGAGAAUGUUAUCACGGGAGACACACGGCGGGUGCUAACGUCCGUCGUGAAGAGGGAAACAACCCAGACCGCCAGCUAAGGUCCCAAAGUCAUGGUUAAGUGGGAAACGAUGUGGGAAGGCCCAGACAGCCAGGAUGUUGGCUUAGAAGCAGCCAUCAUUUAAAGAAAGCGUAAUAGCUCACUGGUCGAGUCGGCCUGCGCGGAAGAUGUAACGGGGCUAAACCAUGCACCGAAGCUGCGGCAGCGACGCUGAUGCGUUGUUGGGUAGGGGAGCGUUCUGUAAGCCUGUGAAGGUGUACUGUGAGGUAUGCUGGAGGUAUCAGAAGUGCGAAUGCUGACAUAAGUAACGAUAAAGCGGGUGAAAAGCCCGCUCGCCGGAAGACCAAGGGUUCCUGUCCAACGUUAAUCGGGGCAGGGUGAGUCGACCCCUAAGGCGAGGCCGAAAGGCGUAGUCGAUGGGAAACAGGUUAAUAUUCCUGUACUUGGUGUUACUGCGAAGGGGGGACGGAGAAGGCUAUGUUGGCCGGGCGACGGUUGUCCCGGUUUAAGCGUGUAGGCUGGUUUUCCAGGCAAAUCCGGAAAAUCAAGGCUGAGGCGUGAUGACGAGGCACUACGGUGCUGAAGCAACAAAUGCCCUGCUUCCAGGAAAAGCCUCUAAGCAUCAGGUAACAUCAAAUCGUACCCCAAACCGACACAGGUGGUCAGGUAGAGAAUACCAAGGCGCUUGAGAGAACUCGGGUGAAGGAACUAGGCAAAAUGGUGCCGUAACUUCGGGAGAAGGCACGCUGAUAUGUAGGUGAAGUCCCUCGCGGAUGGAGCUGAAAUCAGUCGAAGAUACCAGCUGGCUGCAACUGUUUAUUAAAAACACAGCACUGUGCAAACACGAAAGUGGACGUAUACGGUGUGACGCCUGCCCGGUGC
rnacentral:rRNA from 1 species